rnacentral:rRNA from 1 species
UACGUAGGGUGCAAGCGUUGUCCGGAAUUAUUGGGCGUAAAGAGCUCGUAGGCGGUCUGUCACGUCGGCUGUGAAAACUCGGGGCUCAACCCCGAGCCUGCAGUCGAUACGGGCAGACUAGAGUGCUGUAGGGGAGACUGGAAUUCCUGGUGUAGCGGUGGAAUGCGCAGAUAUCAGGAGGAACACCGAUGGCGAAGGCAGAUCUCUGGGCCGUAACUGACGCUGAGGAGCGAAAGCAUGGGGAGCGAACAGG